AGGACGAACGCUGGCGGCGUGCUUAACACAUGCAAGUCACGGGGGUCCCGCAAGGGAUAACCGGCGAACGGGUGCGUAACACGUGAGCGACCUGCCUCUCCGCGGGGAUAGCCGGCCCAACGGCCGGGUAAUACCGCAUACGUUCAGUUUGGGCAUCCCGAACUGAGGAAACCUCCGGGGCGGAGAGAGGGGCUCGCGGCCUAUCAGCUAGUUGGCGGGGUAAUGGCCCACCAAGGCGGCGACGGGUAGCU
rnacentral:rRNA from 1 species